AAAGAGAUGAACAGAUGUUGACAAACUGAAUAAUUUGCAGUUGAAAAGGGGUAAUUUAUCACAAUAUAUCUUAUCGCAAAAUGUUUAAAAUCGCAAUAACAUCGUAUCUUAUCGCCCCUAUUUCAUCUGCAAAUGUUAACUGCAGUACCUUAUUCCACCAGUGAACUGGUUUGGGCCCAAUCUUAUAUGGAAAUAAGGCAACACUUCAUCUAAUUUUCAACUGUCACUUUCUCUGCAAUCAGAGCUGUAGCUGAUACUAAUCUGUUCUGCAAAUACUGCAAGUUUAUAUCCCAUAAAACCACAUUGUUUUGAAGUGAAAAUAUCAGCAGCAGAGUUAUCUGUUUAUCUGCCAUUUCAGCACAUUUAGUUGUUUAAACACUGGAAGCAGCUCGUGUUCCGUGACGUCCUGGAGGAAAUGGUGGCAGCAAAAAGCUAAGUUGCAGACGGUCAGACGACGACGACACACCCACUUCCCCCCCUCCGGGGCCUUUAUGUGACUUUAUAUAAAGCAUUCCUGAGUGCUGGUCGGGGCCCGGUGUGUUUACACAGCGCUGGGUGCUGCUUACCCUUGGCACUGGGUGUUUUGAGCCGCGCUGCUGGCACUUCUGGGGCAGCGCGGCUAAUAGGGGCUAGCGGGAGGAGGCAGACACACUGUACUCUGGAUAUCAGCCCGAGGGCUUUACGCUCUGCACUCCGGCUCAACGACAGCGCUCCGGCCACAACUUAGGGCACCUCAUUUCUGAGACAUGCUUCUUUCUUUUUUUUUCAUGCAAGUGGAAUGACGGAAACGUGCCUGUGACGGGAGAUAAUGGGAAAAUAUCCAGGACCUAAAAUAUCUUGUUGUGCUCACAGGAUUUGGGAAUGAGCAGGUAGAAAAUAAAUGGAGCUUUCCUCCUGCCUCAGACGAAGUUCAAUCAUAAGCCAAGAGUUUUUUUUUUCUCCCUCCUGUGCGACAACCCAGUGUCUAUAUCGAGCUGACGCCCCACCUUACCCCCUUCUCCUCCGGUCGCCCGUCAUUUUCUCCCUCUUUUCAUAUGUUUAAAGGGCAGUUUAUUUUCCAUUUGUAGGGGGAAAAUUAAUCUCUCUGCUCUGUGGUGGUGGCAGGCCUGGAUCCUGGAGGAGGUCUAUUACCUCUCCUGCCAAGUAGACUCUCCCCCCUCCAGGUUGAAUUACAUUAAUAAUACCUCCUUUAUAGCCAAUCAGCCGGACUAGUCGUAUAUUUCAGAACCAGUAAAAAUAAUUGAAGAAACCUCUGUGAGGAAACUGUGUUCAUACACUUUAAUCUCUUAUUCAAGAGGUUCAAAUUGGUUUUGGGGAAUAAAAAAAAAAAUGCAGCACAAAAGGAGGCGACGCUAAAGAGUUCUUGAGUAAAAAAAAUAUAACAUGACGUGUGGUGGUGUUUGUUUGGUGUGUGUGUGUGUGUGUGUGUGUGUGUGUGUGUGUGUGCACGGCCAUUUCAAUCAGUGCUUUAAUGUAAGACAGCUUGAGGUAUUUAUGACUAUGCAUCUUUACACAUCUGGACUAAUUCUGCAACACCUGCUCACAGCGCUACAGCAUGUACAGUAUAUCAUAUUAAAAUAACAGAACAAUUGCUCUUUUAAAGUUUGUUCAUGGACAGCUGACGGCAGUAUUGUAGAACGAUUUCUAUUAUGUUGCCACUGUUCAGAAAAAUACAGAGACAUUGUAGUAAAGAGGUCAUUCUUCUGUCUCCUGAAUCCAGAUCACAGCAGCAAGUCAAUGCGUUUUUAGUUAUGGUAAAUAGACUUGCACUUAAAUAGCGCUUUUCUAGUCUUCCGACCACUCAGAGCACUUUACACUACGAUCUAGUCUAAAUAUUCAUUCACACACCG